rnacentral:rRNA from 1 species
CCUACGGGCCGCACCAGUGAGGAAUAUUGGACAAUGGGCGAAAGCCUGAUCCAGCCAUGCCGCGUGUGUGAAGAAGGUCUUCGGAUUGUAAAGCACUUUAAGUUGGGAGGAAGGGCAGUUACCUAAUACGUGAUUGUUUUGACGUUACCGACAGAAUAAGCACCGGCUAACUCUGUGCCAGCAGCCGCGGUAAUACAGAGGGUGCAAGCGUUAAUCGGAAUUACUGGGCGUAAAGCGCGCGUAGGUGGUUUGUUAAGUUGGAUGUGAAAUCCCCGGGCUCAACCUGGGAACUGCAUUCAAAACUGACUGACUAGAGUAUGGUAGAGGGUGGUGGAAUUUCCUGUGUAGCGGUGAAAUGCGUAGAUAUAGGAAGGAACACCAGUGGCGAAGGCGACCACCUGGACUAAUACUGACACUGAGGUGCGAAAGCGUGGGGAGCAAACAGGAUUAGAUACCCGUGUAGUC